UACAGAGGUCUCAAGCGUUGUUCGGAUUCAUUGGGCGUAAAGGGUGCGUAGGCGGCGCGGUAAGUCGGGUGUGAAAUCUCGGAGCUUAACUCCGAAACUGCAUUCGAUACUGCCGUGCUUGAGGACUGGAGAGGAGACUGGAAUUUACGGUGUAGCGGUGAAAUGCGUAGAUAUCGUAAGGAAGACCAGUGGCGAAGGCGGGUCUCUAGACAGUUCCUGACGCUGAGGCGCGAAAGCGUGGGGAGCAAACAGG
rnacentral:rRNA from 1 species